AUUGAACGCUGGCGGCAUGCCUUACACAUGCAAGUCGAACGGUAACAGGUCUUCGGACGCUGACGAGUGGCGAACGGGUGAGUAAUACAUCGGAACGUGCCCAGUCGUGGGGGAUAACUACUCGAAAGAGUAGCUAAUACCGCAUACGAUCUGAGGAUGAAAGCGGGGGACCUUCGGGCCUCGCGCGAUUGGAGCGGCCGAUGGCAGAUUAGGUAGUUGGUGGGAUAAAAGCUUACCAAGCCGACGAUCUGUAGCUGGUCUGAGAGGACGACCAGCCACACUGGGACUGAGACACGGCCCAGACUCCUACGGGAGGCAGCAGUGGGGAAUUUUGGACAAUGGGCGAAAGCCUGAUCCAGCAAUGCCGCGUGCAGGAUGAAGGCCU
rnacentral:rRNA from 1 species